rnacentral:rRNA from 1 species
AGAGAAUAGAUACCCUGGUAGUCCACGCCCUAAACGAUGUCGACUGGUUGUUGGGGGUUUGACACUCUCAGUAAACGAAAGCUAAACGCGUGAAGUCGACCGCCUGGGGAGUACGGCCGCAAGGUUAAAACUCAAAGGAAUUGACGGGGACCCGCACAAGCGGUGGAUUAUGUGGAUUAAUUCGAUGCAACGCGAAAAACCUUACCUACCCUUGACAUGUCCUGAAUCCUGGAGAGAUCCGGGGGUGCCCGAAAGGGAACGGGAACACAGGUGCUGCAUGGCUGUCGUCAGCUCGUGUCGUGAGAUGUUGGGUUAAGUCCCGCAACGAGCGCAACCCUUGUCAUUAGUUGCUACCGCAAGGAGCACUCUAAUGAGACUGCCGGUGACAAACCGGAGGAAGGUGGGGAUGACGUCAAGUCCUCAUGGCCCUUAUGGGUAGGGCUUCACACGUAAUACAAUGGUCGGUACAGAGGGUUGCCAAGCCGCGAGGCGGAGCCAAUCCCAGAAAGCCGAUCGUAGUCCGGAUCGCAGUCUGCAACUCGACUG